AGCAUAGAACAAGUGAACAACAGCAGGCUCGCAUACUCGCAGCCUCGUAGGUAUCGAACAAGAACAACAACGCUUCCACCCUCACCCUCCUCCCUCCGGCUGUCCUCCUCCGUCCAGCGACCACCUCACCGUCCUCCCUACAAUGGAAGGAACUAAGCAGAAGGUUUGUAAUAUUUAGCGAAACUGCAAUGGAAGGAACCAAGCAGAAGGUUGUGUGAUCGAUUCGGGUGGUGAAAAGCCGAGGAAUUUGGGGUAAAUCAGGGAAAAUUGGAAAGGGUCAGAUGGCUAAACCUAGGGUUCUUGCAAUCACCAGUGAUGAUGUGGACACACCACCAUUUAAGGUAUGCGAAUACAUUUUUCCAGCGGUUCAUUGUUAUGCCGCCGUUUGCGAUGGUGGUUGUACAGAGUUGAGGGGGAAUAUGGCCCUUGGCGAAUGCAUAAACAACAAUACACAGUGUCGUUGUCGAUGGAGGUGUUAAAUUUUUUUUUAUAGCAUCUUGUGAUUAAAUCUAUCUCUUUGAUUGUUACAUUUGCAAUAAUCAAUAUAAGAGUAUAAUUUAAGUUGGAGUA